rnacentral:rRNA from 1 species
UGGGGAAUAUUGCACAAUGGGCGCAAGCCUGAUGCAGCCAUGCCGCGUGUAUGAAGAAGGCCUUCGGGUUGUAAAGUACUUUCAGCGGGGAGGAAGGCGAUAAGGUUAAUAACCUUGUCGAUUGACGUUACCCGCAGAAGAAGAACCGGCUAACUCCGUGCCAGCAGCCGCGGUAAUACGGAGGGUGCAAGCGUUAAUCGGAAUUACUGGGCGUAAAGCGCACGCAGGCGGUCUGUCAAGUCGGAUGUGAAAUCCCCGGGCUCAACCUGGGAACUGCAUUCGAAACUGGCAGGCUAGAGUCUUGUAGAGGGGGGUAGAAUUCCAGGUGUAGCGGUGAAAUGCGUAGAGAUCUGGAGGAAUACCGGUGGCGAA